GCAAUUUCCCCUGCUUGUUGAGAUCUUCAUGUCUACAUAUAGACCAAGCAUCUUUGACAGGAAAACGAAGCAUUGGUUAUCCUAAAUAUACUUGAUGUACGGUGCUAGGCCUAUGGUUUCAUCUGAACUUUGUGUCUAUCAUAAAACAUUGUGAUUUGUCAUUAUAUUAAUUGUUAUGCAUACAUCCACCUUUUUCCAUAUGUUGGCAUUGUUUACUCAAUGUAAAAGCUAAGCUUGUAAACGAGAGUUUAUUAAAGCGUGAAUAAAUACAUGUAUAAUUUAUUUUGUGUUCCA
rnacentral:misc_RNA from 1 species